ACGUCCAUACCAUGCUGAAUAUACCGGUUCUCGCUAGAUCACCAAGUCAAGCAUCAUUGGGCGCGGUCAGUACUUGGGUGGGUGACCACCUGGAACACCGCAUGCCGU
rnacentral:rRNA from 1 species